UACGGGGGGGGGCAAGCGUUGUUCGGAAUUACUGGGCGUAAAGGGCGCGUAGGCGGCCUUCUAAGUCAGACGUGAAAUCCCUCGGCUCAACCGAGGAACUGCGUCUGAUACUGAAAGGCUUGAAUUCGGGAGAGGGAUGCGGAAUUCCAGGUGUAGCGGUGAAAUGCGUAGAUAUCUGGAGGAACACCGGUGGCGAAGGCGGCAUCCUGGACCGAUAUUGACGCUGAGGCGCGAAAGCCAGGGGAGCAAACGGG
rnacentral:rRNA from 1 species